AAGGAUCAUUACCAAAAUAUUCCCUUCGAUGGGAAGUGGUCGAGCUUCGAGCCUCCAUGGAGCGUGAGAAACUCUUCCAUCCACCUUCGACCUGAGAGAUCAUUAUGACUCCAGGUGAUUGGUUUAUCAUUGUGAACGCACCUGUUGCUUUGGCAGCUUCUCGACCAGGAUUCUGCUCAGGUGUCAGCCUGCCAAUAGCCUUUGAAACUCAUUUGGAAUUUGUAUUGGUCUGAGCAUGAAAAUAAUUCAUAAAACUUUCAACAACGGAUCUCUUGGUUCUC
rnacentral:misc_RNA from 1 species